AAAAAAAAAAAUAUGGUUCUUCUUCUCUCUCGCACCGCUUCUGAUCUGAAGCAGGUUCUUGUGGGUUCUUCUCUUUUGUCGUCUCUUCUUUCCAACCCUCAUCACUGAUGUUCUUGGUUAAAUCACUGAAUCUAUUUUUUGCUAUCUUGUGUCUUUACAAACUAGAGUCUAAAUUUCUUAUAGCAUUCAUUUAGGGAUUUUGAUUCUUAACCGUUUUCCUCUUUAUUUGUUGAAGUUAGGGAAAAACUCUAGUGGUCUGUUUGGAUGCCAUGGAUUCAGUCUCUUCCAUCAAUUGUAUAUCUGAAUAACAAAAUAUUGAUAGGAUUGUCUGGGUUUAUUUGUGCUCUGUAGGUUUCGUUCGAUUUGUUUAAGAAUUGUAUGUGGAUUUUGUUUGAUUUGUUUCUGAUUUUUUUGGGGUUUCGUUUGAUUUGUUUAUGAUUUUUCUGUGGGUUUUGUUUGAUUUGUUUCUGAAUUUUUGUGGGUCUGUAUCUGCUGUAAGGAUGAGAACUGGGUUGGUUUAGUUUUGAUAAGAAAUUGUUGAUUUCUUUUUUGGAGUUCAAGGUUGGACUAGUGGAAAUGCAAAGUGUUUGAUGAAAUUCUUCUAUGAGCUGGGAAUUCCAAGAGCUACUUGUACGAGUCAGUGAUACAAAUUUUCAAAGCUGUAGCUAUAAAAAUAUUAAAAAUACAAACUUUAACAUCUUUUUUUUUUCUUUUAUUUGACCAAGAAAUUAUCAAAAUCUUAAGGUUGAAAGUGGUACUAAAUUUCUGUUAUUUUUUAUUUUUUUUAAUGUUUUUGCCCUUUGUGUGUUUGUUGGGUGUUUCUUAGAUCUUGUUGAUUUUUGUGUCAAAUUUUACAGGUUCCGGGUACACUAGGUCGCAGGCUUGGACCCCUGGUUAGCUUCAAACCAACGAAUUUGGUUUGCUAUAGAACGCUGCACACAGGCAAGAAGGAUGUUCAAGGGAGAUUUGAGAGCAAACUAUGCAGUUGUGACUCAAUGCUUAAUUGUAUCCUUUGCUAUAAAUGAGGACUCAAAUCUGCAAUGUAUACUACAUUAUCAAACUAGAGACUGAUGCGUCCUAUGAUGAAGAAUUAUUGAAAGCUUGGUAUUGCUGGAUAUCUUGUGGUGCUCUAUUAUUGUCAAAGCCUGGUGGAUUUGUUGUUUCAUUACUCAGUUGUGACAUGUUGCUGUAGUGUUAAGAAAUUGUGAUAGCUUGAUGAUGUUAAUGUAUAAGUUUUGUUGUAGAUUGUGUUUUAGGAGUGGCCAGUUUUAGCUUGAUUUGUUGAGAUCAUGGCACUUUGUUGAGGGGUGUAAGCUAUCAUAGCCUAUUGUUUUGUUGUAGUGGGUCUGUUGUAAACUUUUAUUUGCAAAUGCCAAUCUUAGUUUUGCUA